AUGAAUGUAGGCGGUGUUGUGUCAAGCACAGCAUCAACAGCUACACAGGGAGAAGGAGCACAGGUUCUUCCUAGAUCAAAAGAUCCAGCAUGGAAAUAUUGCACAUGUCCGGACAUCAGCAAGAAGAACUAUCUAAAAUGCAUAUUCUGCGGUCAUUUGUCCAGCAAUGGCACUAGUCGAAUCAAAUUGCACCUUGCAUGCAUUCCUAAGUCUGGUGUGGAUCACUGUGAGAAAGUGCCAGCUGAUGUCAAAGAGGAGAUCCUUCAGUACUUGACAAAGAAGGGUGACAAAAAGGCAGCCAAGCUUAUGGAGCAGAAGAGACGCAGAAAUGGAGUUGACUUGAGCCACUCGGAGGGGGAAGAACAAGCUACAAGUGAUGAAGAUGGCCUAAACCAUUCUGCACUUGUGCUUCAGCCAUCGAGAUCAACAAGAAAUAAAUCUAAAUCUUCAAGUGGCCCUAUGGACAAAUACUGUGAAUUAAAUCCCGAAGAGCUUGUUGCCGCAAGGAAGAGGAAACAUGGUGCUGACACGAUCUAGGGGAAGCUGACAACUGAGAAGAGAGAACAAAAAAGGGCUCGUGCUUGUGAGUACAUCUGCCAGUGGUUCUAUGAAGCUUGCAUUCCAUUCAACGCAGUCACACUUCCCAGCUUUGACCUCAUGCUUCAGUCAAUUGGACAGUAUGGUGAGGACUUGGACGGUCCUACUCCUUAUGAAAUGGGUGGCCCAAUAUUGAAUAAGAGGAAGAAAAGAGUUCAGGAGUCCUUCAAUGCACACAGGAAGACUUGGGAGCUUACUGGAUGUACAAUCAUGACAGAUGCAUGGACUGACAUAAGAGGAAGAGGGGUAAUGAAUCUUGUAGUUCAUAGUGCUCAUGGUGUGGUGUUUCUUAAUUCUGUGGACUGUUCAGCCAUGAAGAAAGAUGGGAAGUACAUCUUUGAGCUUGUUGAUAGAUGCAUAGAAGAGGUUGGUGAGAAGCAUGUAGUUCAAGUUGUGACUGAUAAUGCAAGUGUUAAUCAAGCGGCAUCAACCUUGUUGAAAGCAAAGCGCCCCAACAUAUUUUGGAAUGGUUGUGCUGCCCAUUCUAUUGAUCUGAUGUUAGAGGAUAUUGGCAAGCUUAAAACAGUGGACUCUACUAUUACACAAGCUAGAGCUGUCACUGUUUUCCUUUAUCCACACACUAGAGUUUUGUCUCUAAUGAGGGAAUUCCUUGGGAAAGAUCUGGUGAGGUCUGGCAUUACAAGGUUUGCUACAGCUUACUUGAACUUGAAAAGCAUGCUGGACAACAAGAAAGAACUGCAGAAGCUAUUCAGAUCAGAUCAGAUGGAUGAAAUGGGUUACUUAAAAAAGGUGAAAGGACGUGAUUCAAACCGAAGUGUGCGCUCUGAAAAUUUUUGGACGGGAGUAGAACGUGCUGUCAACUUCUUUGAGCCUUUGUCUAAUUUGCUGCGGCGAAUGGACAGCGAUGUACCAGCUAUGGGUUUCAUAUAUGGCGCUUUUUUGGAUGCAAAGAAGGAGAUUGCAGCUAGAUUUGACAAUGAGAAGGCUAGUAUCCAGGAAGUGCUACACAUUAUUGAUAAGAGAUGGGACAACAAAUUGAAGGGGACCCUACAUAGGGCUGGAUACUUCUUAAUCCCAUACUACUACUAUGAAAACAAGCUGGAGAUUGAGUUGGAUGGAAAAUUUAAAGAUGGCCUUGUUGCUUGCAUGGAGAAGAUGGUUAGAGAUGGUAAGAAGGAAGAUAUAAUGACAGCUGAGUGUCAGGCAUAUCAAAAUGAAGAGGGGUCGUUUGGAAGGGACAGUGCUAAAAGGCAGCGGAGAAACAAGAACUUUGAUCCAGCUGAAUGGUGGUCCAAUCAUGCAUCAAGUGCACAAAAUCUCAGGGUACUGGCUAUGCGGAUUUUGAGCUUGACAUGCAGCUCAUCAUCUUGUGAGAGAAACUUCAGUGUUUUUCAGCAGGUUCAAGGCAGCAAAAGGUGCAACAGGCUACUUCAUGAAAAAAUGAGAGAUCUUGUCUUCAUCAAGGCCAACUCCCAACUUCAACAAAAGAGAAUGAACAAAGACAGGGAUCCACUUGUGGACAGAACGCAUCCAGAUGUUGUGGAAGAUGAAGAUAAGAAGUGGAUCACAGGAAUUGUGCCAGUUCCAGUUGUGGAUACUGCAGAUGAACCUGAAGAAGAACCAAUACCACAACCGAGAGCAAGAGCUGCUGCAUCAAAAAGAAAUAAAGCUCGUCAGCCUAGGAAGAAGUUGCUCCCAGUUUUUCGUGAUGAUGAGCUGCAAUCUGUGGGUUCUUCUUCUGAUUCAGAUGAUGAUGCCAUGGCAGCAAGUUCAUCUGAUUCUGAUUGA
rnacentral:rRNA from 1 species